AAAAUCACAAAAUCGGCAUCCUCAUGGCUUCCAAAACAGCGGCUGCUAAAGACAUCAUCACCCUCCACGGAUCUGCUGCCAUCGUCAGCGAAUUCUUCUGUUACACAGCGAACAGUAUUCUGUACAAUCGAGCGGUUUAUCCAGAAGAGAGCUUCGUGAAAGUGAAGAAAUAUGGACUUCCGAUGUUGCUUAUUGAAGACGAAUCCGUCAAAUCAUUCAUGUCUAAUCUCACUUCUCAGAUCUCCGAAUGGCUUGAAGCUGGAAAGUUGCAGAGAGUAGUGUUAGUGAUAAUGAGCAAAGCCACUCACUGGUGAAGUCUUGGAGAGGUGGAAUUUUCGUAUUGAGACUGAUACUGAAGUUGUUGACAAAGGGCGUGUUUGAUGUAUUGGCAUAUACGGACACGGAUGUGGCUGUUCCAUUCACCUGGGGUCGACAGCGACCCCAAGCUUAUUGCUAACCUACAGAUGGUUAAGUUACACGGUUUUGAUACCAAGUUUCACAAGGUCGACACCCUCGUCUCAUACAAGAAUGACGAAUGGGAUGAAGAAGAGUAGUUAACAGAAGCCAGGACACACGUAUGCAAGGCUCUUUGUUUGUUCAGCUUGUGUUUAUCUCUCUGGCAGUUCUUAAUGUUCUAAAGGCACCGUGAAUCCUUUUAUUCACACCUAUGUCGUUUUCUCUUCUCUUCUUUCUGGAAUUGUAUGAGAAUCCUGUACCUGUGUUGUUUUCUCUUCAAAAGUUGUCAGCUUUUUCAUUGUCCUUGUUCCUUGCAUUGAACCCUUAAACAAUAUUGAUGGUUGUUCUUGAUA